rnacentral:lncRNA from 1 species
CUGCCACUGGACACCUGAUGUCUGUGGAUAGACCCAGCGGGAAAGCCGGCAUCCACAUCCUGCCCAUCACUCCUAUGUCCACUCUUGGCUGCACCCAGGAGAGUGGGAAUCUUUGAGCGAGACAUUCUCUGAACAGGAUUCAAUCCCCUGCUUUGUGUGGUGUGGCUCAUCAGGGGAAACAGCAUUUUCAUAUGGGUCAGUGGAGCCACACAAUGAGAAGGAGCCCAAGGCCAUGCUUAUUAAGGCCCACUUAUGUAGACCUUGGAUUAAUGCUUUCACCUUCACACGUGCAAGCCCUUCUCAAGGCUCUCAGGUGGGACUGUCCUACCUGGGUCCAGAGCCUCUCCACCCACUGGUCUGUGGCUCUGCCCCUGUCUCCUCUUUCACAUCAAGAUCCCCAGGAAGUGUGUUCACCUGCACCUGCUGUGGGCGGAGCAAGACAAGCAUCCGGAAAGGAUGGAGUGAAGGGACGCUCCUGGCUGCUCUGUUGCUCCCUUUAGCGGAUUUAGCGGCUCAGGAGAGGGGAGACGGCCCGCGGAAGCAGAGGAAACCACGCCUCCUUCGUGGCUCGCUUAAGGCAGCACCUGGAGCGGUUUCAUCGUUUACAGAGUCCUGGCAACAAGCUCCAGGAGCUCGCGGCGGGUCGCUCCGGAACUCCUCACUCACCCUGAAUACCGCGCAGAAGUUACCAUGGUGGAUCGCUGGUUGUUUAUCUGCCCAGACAUUCUGUAUGCAGUUGGAAGGAUAUGUAGCAAUUCAUGUAAAGAGCCGCAAAGGAGACCAUCAGCCUGCAUGGACCACUCUGCAGCUUGCCUCUGCACGUCACAAUCUAUCCUGGAGACCUUCCCACAUCUGCAUAAAGAUUGGCGUCCUUCUCUGAAAUGACUGUGCACUGUUUCAUUGCAUGCAUGCUAUUUAUUUUUUAGCUCACUCUGAUGAAGAAUAUAUGUGUUAUGUCUUGGCUUCUGCUAUCACAGACAAUGCCACAAGCAACAUAUUCAUUCAGGUAUCUCAGUGUGCAUCUACAAGCAUAACCAAUAGAUAAAUUCAUCCUUUUCGGCACAGUGUUGGUUAUCUUCCAGCAAUUUUUCUUGACAGCCAGAAACAAGAAAGUCUGAUUCUCUCUGCACCUUUCUAAUAUCUACCAAUGUCACAGGAGAAAAUGAUUCUUUUUGUUUGUUCAGUUCCUCAAAGAUAUUAAUUGAGCACUUACUAUAUGCCAAGGGCUUUGUGUUAGGUUAGGGAAGGGAACUUUUUGUGGGGAAAGUCUUAAUGAAAUCAGCACAUAAAUAAAAGUGAGUUACAGCUGUUAUUUGUGGAGUGA